GUAGGGAAUAUUGGACAAUGGGGGCAACCCUGAUCCAGCGACGCCGCGUGAGUGAUGAAGGCCUUCGGGUCGUAAAGCUCUGUUGCAGGGGAAGAACACAAUGACGGUACCCUGCUAGAAAGGAUCGGCUAACUUCGUGCCAGCAGCCGCGGUAAGACGAGGGAUCCUAGCGUUGUUCGGAAUUAUUGGGCGUAAAGCGGGUGCAGGGGGCUUGGUAAGUCAGAUGUGAACGCCUGGGGCUUAACCCCAGAAGUGCAUUUGAUACUGCUGAACUAGAGUGCUGGAGAGGCUAUUAGAAUUCUUGGUGUAGUGGUGAAAUACGUAGAUAUCAAGAGGAAUACCGGAGGCGAAGGCGGAUAGCUGGGCCAACACUGACGCUGAGACCCGAAAGCGUGGGGAUCAAACAGGAUUAGAUACCCCAGUAGUCC
rnacentral:rRNA from 1 species